rnacentral:lncRNA from 1 species
AGUCCGGGCAGCGGGCGCACGCAGGCGUGACGUCACUCGACGCGACGCGUAGCGUACCGGGUGACCGUCACGUGACCUGGCGAGGCGGCGACCAUGGCCGUCCCUCUUUCCCCCACGCUGGUGCUGGGCGAGGCCUCGGAGAGCGACUCAGAGCCGGAGCCGGGGGGGAACACAGCCGGGACUCCCGCAGUGGGGCUGAAGGUUCCGGGGGAGGCGUCGGAGACCGAGGAGGAGGAGGAAGAGGACAGUGCGGCCCGGAUGCCGCUGCCAGGGGUGUCCAGGGGGGGCCCCUCACUGCUGCAGCAGCGGCUGGGGGCGGGCGAGGGGCGACUGCGGGGCGCAAUGGCUGAGGCACUGGGACGCAGUUUCAGUGGGGCUGCGCGGCUGCUGGAAGGUCUGGGGGGGCCCCUGGGCCACGCCCAAGCUGGGGCAGCUGCGACCGCGCACUGCCUGUGCCUGGUGCGCCGUGACCUGCGCGCUGUGGCUGCCACCGUAGCCACCAUCACCGCCUGUCACCUGCUGCCUGACAUCCGUGGGGAGCUGUGAGAGUGGGAAUGUCUGUGGGGGGGGGGGGGGCAGUGCUGGCAGCUGUGGGGAGCUCCUGGCGUUGUUGUUGCAGUGUCACUGACACUGACCUUCAGCACUGUGUCCAAUGGACUCGAGAGUUGUGGUUGUCACUGAUGACAUUCUCAUUGUCACUGCAUUGCCAGUGCUGUGUCCCCUUGAGCUGAUGCUGCCAUCAACAGCACUGCCGCUGAUCGCUCAGUGUCCCAGCGAUGUCCCUGUGUCACCUGGCCUGUGGGGACCUUGGCCUCACAGUGACGUUGUCAGUGAAUGGAAGCUCCUGACGAUUGAUUGAUGCAGAAUUCUGUAGUUUUGCCCUGUAUAGGGGAUCUGUGGGUUCUGGCACUGACUAAAGCCCUUUGGAGACAUAGCUGCAGCAAGGACACAGCUUUCACUAGGUGGGUGGCAGUGUGUUCACCCACGGCACUGUGGUCCCAGUGGUCUGAGCAAGGUCCCUUUUGUUGCCCCCCAUGUCCUUGGGCUGUGGUUGUGUCCUGUGCGUCCCUUCCUGCCAUAUGAAUGUCUCCAGCAUCUGGCCACUGUCCCCAAGCUGUGGCUAUGUCCUGUCACCCUAAGUGCCCCUUGGCCUUGUCCUUAGCUCUCUCCUACCUCUGUGUACCCCUCUGAGAACUUCAGCCAGGGACAGGGAGAAGUACAUACGAAUCUCACACCACGGAGCCACAUGGGUCUGUCACGCUGCAUCCUGCCUGGGCUGUCACGUCCUGUGGGACACCAGGGGAUACACCCUGGGUGCUAGUGGGCUUGUGGCACCAAAAUGCCCGGGGCCUGAUGAGGGUCCUGGGGGCUCCUGGCGUCUCCAGAAGGGUCCCAACUGUCCCCAGGGACUGACCUGAGGGGUAGUGGAAAACCAGGAUGAAGGUUCACUUUCCCCAUUCCCCUGUGUUGUGGCAAAGGGGAAAGGUUUUGUGAAGAGCACAGUGGUGUUGGAUUCUGUUCAUAAAGAUUCUAGACCUCGGUUCCCUUCCCGUAUCCAAAUUAGAAUGAAAGAUAGUAUUAACAAUUCAUCUUUUGAGGAAGAACCUCUGAGCACUUGUAACUGGCAGUGCUUUGAUAUUCUAGGUAACCUGUUCCAUAAGGAGUGCUGGGUGAUGCUGGCUGAUACUGUCAAUUGUGAGCAUGCUCCACAGAAAGUUUCCCUCUGUGGGAGUGAGGAAACAAAAUGUGGUGAUUCAGUACUGUGGGGUUAUUAUGGGGUUACUAGAGUCUAGGAUUCUAGAGUCUGAGGAUUCUAUGAAUUGAUUAUUGGAGGAUUCUAUGAGGAUGCUAUGAGGAUACCAGCUCCUGUGAUUAUAAGUUCUGUUAUUUCAGAUUCUGUGAUCGUUUCAUGAUUCUAGAUUCCUUGACUCUGUGAUGAUUCUGGGCUUCAGUUGUGUGGUGAUUCUGAUUCCUCACUAAGAGUAUAGAUUCCCAGACUUGUAGCUACGCAAUACGAUGCGUUUCCAUCUCCACUCCUGUGCAUAGUGUGUGGCAUAGUUCUGAGUGCCUGACACAGCCCAAGCAAAAUCAAUUUCUGUAGGUUAUUACUAAAUAAAAAAAUAAAUCAAUAAAUUUCUUGCUUUAGUUUCUGCUCCCUGAUCCAUUUAUUUAUGUUCUCCCUUGCUUCAUAUGUAACUUCCAAACUUGGCAUUUUGCAGAUAAUACCUUUUCCCCCUUUCGUCCUUUGGUGGCCCCUAAUGGUCUCUUCUUUCUCAGUUAGAACAGUUGUCAUGAGCCUAUUCAUAUAGGAAUUUGGGACUGGAGUUCACUCCGUGACUCUUAUCAUAGUUGAUGUCCCUAGUUGCUAUCGUGCAGACUUCACCAAUUUAUAACAGAUGGAUACAGCUACGAUAUACACUCCUAAGAGGGAAGCAGGAAUGUAUAUUUAUUGAUGUAAUGUAGAUAUGCUGUAGUGAUAUGACAGUGACUUAACAAGACUGGAGAUGGCUGGAUACACUUGGUUAUUUUCCACAUAGAGGGCAGGAUUAAACACACACCUACAGGACGCUCUCCUGCUGUGUCAUGAGGAUCAGAGCAGGCCCCGUUGCUGUCUGAACUCUUCAAACCACAGAGAUCACAGCAGUGUGAGUCUGACUGCGUCAGCGGAAGAGCUGCCUUCAUGGAGGUGCAGGUGCAGUCGGCCGUUGUGGAAUUCAUCCUGAACCACACUCUUCCACUCCAAAUCCAGCCCAGUCAUUGGAGAUGGAGGAGCAAGCACAGUGUAUUUGGAUGCUCUGCUUCCAAAAGUGCAACAGCUUCUGGAGACCCAGGUGGGACCCCACAGGUGACGGUCCUCUCGGCACCAAGCGUCCAGUUGCCAGCAGCAGGUGAGUUCACUUUGGGGGACUUUGGUGAUGGGAGGUGCCAAGCAGCAAGCCUUCAAUUUCCGCUACUAAAUGCAGGCUUGGAAGCAAGCUACGUGUGGGAAAUAUACUUGGUGCAGGAAAGGGGAUGUCCUUAGCCAAGGUGCUGGAAAACUGAAGGAAAACAGAUGAAACUGCAGAUCUAUCAACAAAAACGUAAGCACGUGACACUUGACUUGGCAGGUCUGUGAGAAGGUCAGCUUCCCCGUGUUUGUAUUUCAGCCAUCAUCCUCCAUACUGGAGAGGCU